rnacentral:rRNA from 1 species
UACGAAGGGGGCUAGCGUUGUUCGGCCUCACUGGGCGUAAAGCGCACGCCGGCGGUUCGAUAAGUCGGGGGUGAAAGCCCGGGGCUCAACCUCGGAAUUGCCUUCGAUACUGUCGGUCUCGAGUCCGGGAGAGGUGAGUGGAAUUCCUAGUGUAGAGGUGAAAUUCGUAGAUAUUAGGAAGAACACCAGUGGCGAAGGCGGCUCACUGGCCCGGUACUGACGCUCAGGUGCGAAAGCGUGGGGAGCAAACAGG